rnacentral:rRNA from 1 species
UACGGGGGGGGCAAGCGUUGUUCGGAAUUACUGGGCGUAAAGGGCUCGUAGGCGGCCAACUAAGUCCGACGUGAAAUCCCCAGGCUCAACCUGGGAACUGCGUCGGAUACUGGAUGGCUUGAAUUCGGGAGAGGGAUGCAGAAUUCCAGGUGUAGCGGUGAAAUGCGUAGAUAUCUGGAGGAAUACCGGUGGCGAAGGCGGCAUCCUGGACCGACAUUGACGCUGAGACGCGAAAGCGUGGGGAGCAAACAGG